ensembl:snRNA U6 U6 spliceosomal RNA
GUGCUUGCUUCUGCAGCACAUUUGCUAAAAUCGGAACAAAGAAGAUUAGCAUGGCACCUGUAAAAGGAUGACAUCAAAACUGGUGAAGUGGAUCGUGUGGGU